UAAGUGGUGGCCCUUUGGGGAGACACCAAUUGAUAGUUUGUUUCCUUCCUGUUGUCCAAGCCAGGGUUCCUCUUUAGGACCUGGCAGUGGUUCUUGAGAGGUUAUCCCUUGCACCCUUCGAACCCACUGACGAGGUGUCUGAGAAGUUUCUCACUUUCAGAAUGACCUUCCUGCUAGCUAUUACAUCCCUCAAAAGGGUUGGGGACCUGCAGGCGCUAUCUGUUGAUCCCUCUUGCCUUGAGUUUGCUCCUGGGAGGGUAAAGGCUAUUCUCCACCCUAGGCCGGGAUAUGUGCCCAAGGGGCCAUCAAAUGUAGUGUAGUCUAUCAUCCUGCAGGCUCUUCAUCCUGCACCACAUGUCAGCUGAUCAUGAGAGGCUACACCUAUUAUGCCCUAUCCGGGCCCUAGAGGCCUAUGUAUGGAGAUCCUCAGGUUGGAGGAAUUCUGACCAACUAUUCGUGUUUUGGGUCACUUAAGAAGGGUUCCCCUGCCUCUAAACAGACAGCUAGCAGGUGGAUUGUGGAGGCUGUUUCUUCAAUGUAUGAUGUGUGCAGUUAGCCCUUGCCUCUCCUGAUAAGAGCCCACUCAACUACAGGAGUAGUAGCAUCUAAAGCCCAGCUAUCAGAGGUCUCCCUUCAAGAGGUCUGUGAUGCCGCUGGCUGGAUCUCCCCACAUACUUUCAUAAGAUAUUAUAGCUUGGAUCUGCCCUCCACACCAGGUUCUCAAGUCCUCUCGUCCUGAGCUGUGCCUGACAAGUUUCACACCAGGACAGGCACUAGUCAUUGUGGUGCAGUAGAUAUUUUCUUCUCAAAAGUGUCAUCUUCAACGCAGUGUGAGUUCCCUCGAAAGGGAACGUCUCGGGUUAUGACUGUAACCUUUGCUCCCUGAGAAGGGAACAAGAUGCUGCAUCUCUUUGUCACACCUGAGAACAAAUUGCUUCGACCUAUCAGAAGCUAACACUGUUCAGUGCCUGACUCCCCUUUGUAGCUUCUGUGUACGCUGUCACAUGUGACAUCAUGAUGCAACACUAAUUUUAGAUUGGACUAGAUCUACAUGUGCUUCAGACCCUAUCAUGCUGGAGGUGUUCUCCAAAGUGUCGUCUUCGAUGCAGAAUCUCAUUCCCUUCUCAGGGAACAAGGGUUACAGUCAUAACCCGAGAUGAUUUGUAGCCUCGUUACUUUGAAUUUGAAAUCUAAUUUUUUGAUUUGGUGUGCAGAUUCAUUGUGGCUUUGUACAUAAUUUAAUCCUUCAAAAACAGCACAUGUAUAGAUAACUUUUCCAGGUGUAAUGUUUCAUAUUUGGGGGGGAAUUUAUUUGUUCAUUUUAUCUGACAGGUGUGAUGAUCAGUGGACUUGAGUUUUUACCUUUAUCAUCAAGGCAUGGGCUAAAAUACGGAUAGAGUUUGUCAGUGAAAGUCUGACCAGUGAAAGAGUAGAUAUGAGAUCUGGAGUCCACGUCAUAAAAAGAGACCAGACCCUCCUCAUCAUCCACAAACACUCCCACUUUCUCAGGUUUCUCUCUCUGAGGAACAGAGACCACUAGAUAUACAAAAUUAUAAAUGCAACACUUUUGUUUUUGCCCCCAUUUUUCAUGAGCUGAACUCAAAGAUCUAAGACUUUUUCUAUGUACACAAAAGGCCUUUUUCUCUCAAAUAUUGUUCACAAAUCUGUCUAAAUCUGUGUUAGUGAGCACUUCUCCUUUGCCGAGAUAAUCCAUCAAGAUUGAGUUCAUCACAAAAAGAAACUCUAAAUCCAUUGAUUUUGUUUGUACGGUUUCAGCCUAUAGAUGGCGCUGUUGUGUAUAAAGAGUUGACAGUCAAGAUCACGUUCCAGAACCCGCUGUCACAAGUGUUGAAGAACGUUUUGUUCCGGAUAGAGGGAUUGGGAAUGCAGAGCGUCAGAAAGAUCCCGUAUGGUGAUGUGGAGAAGCUUGCGAUGGUUACACUGAUGGAGAAGUUUGUUCCCACCGUCUCCAGCUCUUUCAUUUUAUGUUUCAUGUAUAUUUAAUAAUUCAGUCAAUUGAAACUGAUAUAACAACAAAGAUCCUCCAUGUUUUAUUCAUAUCACAUUUAUUUGUUGUAAUGUUUAUGUGAGCAGAUGUUCAUGAGCUUGAAUCAUUCUCCAAUACGUUUUUGCAUGAUUAGCAAGCUGUUUAGAUUAUGAGCAAUAUCAGUUAAAGAACUGAACAUGUCUUUAUUCAGAUUUUGCAGUUCUUCCAUUGUCAACCAAAAACCUCAACAUUUCACAAGUAAUUCAAGUGUUAACAGCUGGAGAGAAGAGAGAAAAUGGCUUCAGAAUUUUCUUUACAAAACCACAUGUAGAAACACAAAAGUUUGUUAAUUUAGGAUAUUAUGUAGAAUUUCACCAUUAAAGAUUAAAUCAUAUUAUGUUACAUUUUUAUAGUAUAUUUGAAAAAAGAAUCAAUGAAAAACAAAAGCAGACAAAUCAUUGUGUUCAUUAGAAAUGUAUAGACUCAUAACAAAUUGACCAUGCACAUGUACAAAUAACUUGUAGUUCCAUGUUUUGCCAGCAUUAGAUUUUUUAUGGGCCCAAAUAAACUGUUCUUUUUUGCACUUGUA